rnacentral:tRNA from 1 species
GGGACGGUAGCUCAGUUGGUUAGAGCGCUGCCCUGUCACGGCAGAGAUCGCGGGUCCGAGUCCCGUCCGUCCCG